rnacentral:lncRNA from 1 species
GGAUUGGUCCAACCAAGGGACCUUGGUGUUGAAAGGGUGGGAGAGCCUCCUGGAAAGAUCAUUUCCCCUGAGGGAUUGGUCCAACCAAGGGAGCUUGGUGUUGAAAGGGUGGGAGAGCCUCCUGGAAAGAUCAUUUCCCCUGAGGGAUUGGUCCAACCAAGGGAGCUUGGUGUUGAAAGGGUGGGAGAGCCUCCAGGAAAGAUCAUUUCCCCUGAGGGAUUGGUCCAACCAAGGGAGCUUGGUGUUGAAAGGGUGGGAGAGCCUCCUGGAAAGAUCAUUUCCCCUGAGGGAUUGGUCCAACCAAGGGAGCUUGGUGUUGAAAGGGUGGGAGAGCCUCCUGAAAAGAUCAUUUCCCCUGAGGGAUUGGUCCAACCAAGGGAGCUUGGUGUUGAAAGGGUGGGAGAGCCUCCUGGAAAGAUCAUUUCCCCUGAGGGAUUGGUCCAACCAAGGGAGCUUGGUGUUGAAAGGGUGGGAGAGCCUCCUGGAAAGAUCAUUUCCCCUGAGGGAUUGGUCCAGCCAAGGGACCUUGGUGUGGAAAGGGUGGGAGAGCCUGCAGGGACGGUCAUUUCCCCUGAGGGAUUGAUCCAGUUAAGGGGCCUUGGUGUGGAAAGGGUAAGAGAGCCUGCAGAGAAGAUCAUUUCCCCUGCGGGACUGGUCCAGCCAAAGGACCUUGAUGUUCAAAAGGUAGAUCUGAAGCCUGCCAUGAUACCGAGGAAAGAUGAUAUGAAACAGGUCGAGUUGAAAAUUGAAGGGAAAUCAUUUCGUCCCCAAAAGCCUUACCUGGAAUCUACUUCAGAACUUAGACGUAAGCAAGCUGUGAUCUCCCCCAUGCCCAGUGAUUCUCAAGAGGAGAAGUUAUUGUCUUUGGCCAAAUCCAAGUACAAGCCCAGACCUCCACCCCUCCCCACCGCCCAGAGGUUUCCACUCACGCCAAAGGAGCCAGUUGCCCCAACCCCAACCCCAACUCCAUCUGAAGGGCGUCCAGAGAGUCCCACCUGGGAAGUCAUGGGACCGGACACUGUGGCUUCCCCAAAAAAGUCAGCCCAAGAACGCUGGAGGUGGUUUCUGCGGAUUCAUCAGAGUAUCAGGGCCUUCAAGGGGGCCAUGGCCCGACGGGAUAGAAGCUUGCCUCCUACAUACAGUGAAUUCAUGCACAAGCUCCCUAGAGGAGGCUGGGACCGAUUACAGAAUGCCCUGCGGAAGCUUCGCCAAAAAGGGACAAUCACCAAAAAAACCAUGGACAGCCUUUGCUGGCUGCUGGAGCAGACAUCCCCACUGAAGCAGAUGGAGUGGGUGGAAACGGCCCAUCUGGAGACCCUUGCCUCGCAAUUGGAGUCCCUAAAGGCUCCCCAAGUAGUCUCUACGUCUGUUGCCUAUGGCAUGCCCACAGUGGAAGUAAUCCCCCCACAGACAGACUACCCUAGAGAGGAACUCCGCCCCAGAGAGAGCUUCCAGGAACUCCGCCCCAGAGGGAGCCUCCUGCUACCCGAGUUUCCUGCCCUCGCCAGGCCAUCCAUUCAGCCUGGAGCCCCCGAUCUGGUAGCCCCAGGGAAAGUCAAGGAGAUUGGGCCUGAGUUCCAGGAACUCCGCCCCAGAGAGAGCUUCCAGGAACUCCGCCCCAGAGGGAGCCUCCUGUUGCCUGAGUUUCCAGCCCUCGCCAGGCCAUCCAUUCAGCCUGGAGCCCCCGAUCUGGUAGCCCCAGAGAAAGUCAAGGAGAUUGGGCCUGAAUUCCAGGAACUCCACCCCAGAGGGAGCCUCCAGGAACUCCCCCCUAGAGGGAGCCUCCUGCUGCCCGAGUUUCCGGCCCUCGCCAGGCCAUCCAUUCAGCCUGGCGCCCCCGACCUGGUGGCCCUGGGGAAAGUCAAGGAGAUUCGGCCUGAGUUCCAGGAAUCUUUACGGAAGGACCUGGCUCGGAUUUUCCCUGAUUACUCAGCCAGUGCCCUGAAGGUCCUGAAACUCCAGCAAAAGGUGCAGUUAUGGAAGGACAAGAUAAAGGAGCUUCAGCUGUCCAGGCUGAAGGACAAGAAAUCACUAUUACCCCCUGCAGCCCUGCCAGGACCCCCAGGAGAAGCCCCGCCCACCACAGCCUGGCCUGGACUCCCAGGAGAACCCCUUCCCACCGCAGCCUGGCCUGGACUCCCAGGAGAACCCCUUCCCACCGCAGCCUGGCCUGGACUCCCAGGAGAACCCCCAUACAUAGCGGCCAGGCCUGGACUCCCAGGAGAACCCCCAUAUAUAGUGGCCAGACCUGGACUCCCAGGAGAAAUCCUUCCCACCGCAGCCUGGCCUGGACUCCCAGGAGAACCCCCAUACAUAGCGGCCAGACCUGGACUCCCAGGCGAACCCCUUCCCACCACAGCCAGGCCUGGACUCCCAGGCGAACCCCUUCCCACCGCAGCCUGGCCUGGACUCCCAGGAGCACCACCGCCCACUGCAGCCUGGUCUGGAUUCCCAGGCGAACCCCUUCCCACCGCAGCCAGGCCUGGACUCCCAGGAGAACCCCCAUACAUAGCGGCCAGGCCUGGACUCCCAGGCGAACCCCUUCCCACUGCCAGGCCUGGACUCCCAGGAGAACCCCUACCUAGCGGCCAGGCCUGGACUCCCAGGCGAACCCCUAUACAUAAGGACC